rnacentral:lncRNA from 1 species
UUUUUUUUUUUAUAAGUUACAGAAAAUGGCCUUAUAGUGGUUUGUUCAAGAUACCUAUAAAUGGCAAGUUUGCAUUGAUUGAUCUGCUUCAAAGGCUAUGGCUGUGAAGGAUAAGGUAUUACUCAGUAAUGAGACCAUGGCAUAAAAAAUAAAAGUUCUUAUGGCUUGAGUCACUUGCUUUCUAGAAUGCAUGUGGGAUGUGGCAUGUCAUUAUAUUAGUCACCAGAACUGGUUUGGCAAAAUAGUCAGAAAAUAUGUUCUUUGCCCGAGCAUUUAAUUUAGAGGACUUCCAUAAAAUUGCUUACAAUUUUUAGGGAUAGGACCAAGCCUUUUACUUAAAUGAAAACAUCUUAAUGAGACACUAACCUAUGAAAGGAUGUUGUGGAGGACCAAGUUGGAAUGAGAGUUUAGUUUUAAAGAAGGGAAAAGUACAAUGCUGUAGGUGGUUGGAUUCUGCAUGUGUACAUCUUCAGGGCUGAGAAAACAAAUGCAGAAGAAUUUUGUCAGCUUGCAUAGCAUAAAAUGAAUGACUAAGGCAGUUCCUCAAGAUCAAAGGAUGGGGCUGACCACUUUUAUUGAAGAAAAGGGGAGGUUCAAAGAAGUGAAGAAAAUGAACUUCAGAAUGACCUCAAAAGAGUGGCUAUUGCAAAGCUAAUGGGGCACCUGUUCUUAUAGGUCAAGGUCGCUGUCAAGUAUGCAUUUUCUCUUAUACCUUAAAAUUCAGAUUUUGCCAGUCUGGGAAAGGCAUUUCAUCUAGCUGUUAGAACUAGAGACUGCUCUUUAUUAGGAGUUGAAGCCAUGUCUGCAGAGUAUAACCAGAAGACUUUAUUUAGUCGGAAAGUCAUAAAGGCACGCAUAGUCAAAUCCUCAAAGGAUAAACUAAAAAACUAGAGCAAGAAAAUUGGUCCAGCCCUGUGCAAGGGAGGGCCAGGCACCACAGAGCGCAAAUCUAACCAGGUAAUGGUUGAUGAUUACACUGGAGUGAGGGAGUCAAGUGCAAUUUUUGUAGCUGUCAGCCAAGCUUAAGUGCCUCAAUCUUUUGCCCUUGCC